GUCGAACGCUGGCGGCGUGCUUAACACAUGCAAGUCGAACGGAAAGGCCCUGCUUUUGUGGGGUGCUCGAGUGGCGAACGGGUGAGUAACACGUGAGUAACCUGCCCUUGACUUGGGGAUAACUUCAGGAAACUGGGGCUAAUACCUGAUAGGAGCUCCUGCUGCAUGGUGGGGGUUGGACAGUUUCGGCGGUUGGGGAUGGACUCGCGGCUUAUCAGCUUGUUGGUGGGGUAGUGGCUUACCAAGGCUUUGACGGGUAGCCGGCCUGAGAGGGUGACCGGCCACAUUGGGACUGAGAUACGGCCCAGACUCCUACGGGGGGCAGCAGUGGGGAAUAUUGCACAAUGGGCGGGAGCCUGAUGCAGCAACGCCGCGUGCGGGAUGACGGCCUUCGGGUUGUAAACCGCUUUCGCCUGUGACGAAGCGUGAGUGACGGUAAUGGGUAAAGAAGCACCGGCUAACUACGUG
rnacentral:rRNA from 1 species